rnacentral:lncRNA from 1 species
GAACACAGCUCUAUUCCUGAGCCAGCAGCCUGUGUUUCCCAUUUUGAAGUGAGAACUUUGUGUGUCAAUCCUCUGGAGGGAGGAGCAGAGAAAGGGGAUGUGUCUGUGGUGGCCUGUGCUCCCUUCCAAAGGGACUCCAGGCCUGCACACCCACACCUGGAUCAGCUCCUGGAUCAGAAACUUCCUGCCUGCCUGCUGGGGGCUUUGAAAAUCUCUGGUGUUGGCUGCUGUGGCACUGUGCAGGAAGCUCUGCUUAACAACUGCUCUGUGUUUGUUGUAGGAUUGUUAUUGCUGGAGAGUGUUUGGAGCCAUCCGUCCUCUGAGACCCUGCUUGGGAUGACUCAGAGGGGAAAAGUUCAUCCAUUUUCACAAAAAACAGAAUUUACAAACAAACUUCCUCUGUGUGAGAACAGGGUCCCUGUUUUCUCUCUGCUUAGUGCCCAAUUUCAUCUUACUAGAAUGUUUGGCUGUAAUGCAAGGUUUGAAUCUCUUUAGGGGGAAAAUCCCAGUUCUGGCUGUGCUGUCUGUGUGUCACUGUCAGGGCUGUGUCACCCUCAGGGAUGUUUCUAUGGAAGACACUUGGAAAACCUGUCCAAACAGUGGCACUAUGCAGGACACUUAGAUUUAAUUGACAGUAAAAUUUCUUAAUGUUGCUUCAGCAGCAUCGUUGUUAAUUAACUGGGGGCAAAGAGUAUUAUUUUCACAUGCAGAAACCUCCUUUUGCUGCUCUUCUGUGUCCAAUAAGAUACAAUCACAUAAUCUUGAUUAUCCUCAGUGAGAAGGAACUCACAGGGGUCCUCAAGUCCAGCUCCUGGCCCUGAACAGACACCCAGCAAUCCCACCCUGUGCCUCGCUGAGCGUGUUGUGCAAAUGCUCCUGGAGCUCUGGCAGCCUUGGGGAGCUUCCCUGGGAGCCUGGUGGAACAGAAGCUUGUGGAAUAGUGGGAUAAGGGUGCUGGUUCCUCAGGCUGUCCCAUCCCUGCUCCAGCUGUGCUCCUGACUGACCCACAGGAGGCCAAAGCCUCACCUGAACCUCAGGAUAACUGAGAGUGUCGGUCUGACAACAGCAGCCCUCUGCCACAUGUAGGUUUGUUGAUACUGAUCCAUUUACAGCUAAAUUAUGCCUGGAAAGUGGAUAUUCCAUCAGCCUGUCCUUGCACAGCAGCAGGAUUGUAACCUCAGGUCAGGACAGCUCAGUCCCUGCUCUUGCUUUACCUGUGUAACACCUGUGGACAGGAUGGGUAUAACCUGCUGCUGCAGAAAUUCCCUGGUUUUGCCUUGUUCCCAUGGGUGAGGGAUGUGUUCCCAUGGCUUGGAGUUCUUUGGGGAGCCUGAAGCUGGGGGUCUGUGGUGUCCAUCCCUCUGAGGACUCUGGGGUCCCUGAGCUGUCAGUCAGUGGUGACAGUCCCCUUUACACAGCCCCAGUGGUAGAGGUGUGCCCAGCAGGUGAGAUGAGAUCCUGAAAGGAGAAAAACAUUUAAAAUCCCAGCUGUGUG